rnacentral:rRNA from 1 species
CAUGCAAGUCGAGGGGCAGCAUGUUUGGUUGCUUGCAACCAACGAUGGCGACCGGCGCACGGGUGAGUAACGCGUAUCCAACCUACCCUUGUCCAUCGGAUAACCCGUCGAAAGGCGGCCUAACACGAUAUGCGGUUCACAGCAGGCAUCUAACGUGAACGAAAUGUGAAGGAGAAGGAUGGGGAUGCGUCUGAUUAGCUUGUUGGCGGGGUAACGGCCCACCAAGGCUACGAUCAGUAGGGGUUCUGAGAGGAAGGUCCCCCACAUUGGAACUGAGACACGGUCCAAACUCCUACGGGAGGCAGCAGUGAGGAAUAUUGGUCAAUGGACGAGAGUCUGAACCAGCCAAGUAGCGUGCAGGAAGACGGCCCUAUGGGUUGUAAACUGCUUUUAUAGGGGGAUAAAGUGUGCCACGUGUGGCAUAUUGCAGGUACCCUAUGAAUAAGGACCGGCUAAUUCCGUGCCAGCAGCCGCGGUAAUACGGAAGGUCCAGGCGUUAUCCGGAUUUAUUGGGUUUAAAGGGAGCGUAGGCCGUUUGGUAAGCGUGUUGUGAAAUGUCGGGGCUCAACCUGGGCAUUGCAGCGCGAACUGCCAGACUUGAGUGCGCAGGAAGUAGGCGGAAUUCGUCGUGUAGCGGUGAAAUGCUUAGAUAUGACGAAGAACUCCGAUUGCGAAGGCAGCCUGCUGUAGCGCAACUGACGCUGAAGCUCGAAAGCGUGGGUAUCGAACAGGAUUAGAUACCCUGGUAGUCCACGCGGUAAACGAUGGAUGCUCGCUGUUUGCGUCUGACGUAAGCGGCCAAGCGAAAGCGUUAAGCAUCCCACCUGGGGAGUACGCCGGCAACGGUGAAACUCAAAGGAAUUGACGGGGGCCCGCACAAGCGGAGGA